rnacentral:lncRNA from 1 species
GGGAGUCGGCGAUUAAACCUCUGGAUCGGCGAUUCCCAUACCUGAAUCGCCGAUUCCCAGCCGUUACUUGAGCGGACCUUCGCCAUUAAGGCAUUCCUUAUUAGGGGUACCUUAAUGGCGUGGGCCCCACUCGAUUGAAUGGGGAAACGCCCCCCAAGACCCUAUAAAAGGGGUCCUUGGGGGACCUCUAUCCUCAACUCACAUCCUCUUGACUCACACUCCCACUAGAGCAAACCAAGGAGCCCGAAUCGCC